rnacentral:rRNA from 1 species
GCAUAAACCAGUUACAGCCAUUGGUGGAUGCCUUGGCGUCAUAUGGCGAUGAAGGACGCAGCAAGCUGCGAUAAGCUUCGGGGAGCGGCACGCACGCUUUGAUCCGGAGAUUUCCGAAUGGGGAAACCCAAUGCCGGUAAUGCGGCAUUACUCCCAGCUGAAUAUAUAGGCUGGGUAGAGCGACACGCGGUGAAGUGAAACAUCUCAGUAACCGUAGGAACAGAAAGAGAAUCGAUUCCGUAAGUAGCGGCGAGCGAAAGCGGAACAGCCCAAACCAGAAGGAUUUAUCCUUUUGGGGUUGUAGGACCACAACAUGGGGAGCAACGGCUAGAAGAACACUCUGGAAAGAGUGACCAAAGAGGGUGACAGUCCCGUAAUCGAAAGCCCGCGCCGACCUAGUGGUAUCCUGAGUAGCACCGGACACGUGAAACCCGGUGUGAAUCUGCGCCGACCACGGCGUAAGGCUAAAUACAAUAUGACGACCGACAGUGAACUAGUACCGCGAGGGAAAGGUGAAAAGCACCCCUGUUAGGGGAGUGAAAUAGUAACUGAAACCGAUGGCUAACAAAUCAGUAGGAGCUCCCUUGUGGAGUGACUGCCUGCCUUUUGUAUAAUGAGUCUGCGAGUUAAUGUCCGUAGCAAGCCUAAGCCGCUCAGCGGUGGAGGCGCAGCGAAAGCGAGUCUGAAUAGGGCGUUCAGUUGCUGGCAUUAGACCCGAAGGGGAGGUGAUCUAACCAUGACCAGGUUGAAGCGUUAGUAAAAUAACGUGGAGGACCGAACCGGUGUAUCUUGAGAAAUGCUCGGAUGAGUUGUGGUUAGGAGCGAAAGACUAAUCAAACCCCCUGAUAGCUGGUUCUUUCCGAAAUAUAUUGAGGUAUAGCGUCGAGCGCUGACCUGUGGAGGUAGAGCACUGAAUAAGCUAGGGCCCCUACCGGGGUACUGAACUUUAUCAAACUCCGAAUGCCACAGGGUGAAGCUCGGCAGUCAGACAGUGGGUGCUAACGUCCAUUGUCGAGAGGGAAACAACCCAGACCAUCGAUUAAGGUCCCUAAAUAUGGCUCAGUGGUAAAGGAUGUGAUUUUACUUAGACAAUGGGGAUGUUGGCUUAGAGGCAGCCACCAUUUAAACAGUGCGUAAUAGCUGACCCAUCGAGUGAAAUUGCGCCGAAAAUGAUCGGGACUUAAGCCAUAUACCGAAAUCGUGGAUUUCAGAUCUUUAGAUCUGGAGUAGUAGGAAAGCGUUCCAAGUGCAGCGAAGGAGAAGGGGCAACCGAUUCUGGAGCGCUUGGAAGUGAGAAUGCAGACAUGAGUAACGAUAAAGAUGGUUAAAUUCCAUCUCGCCGUAAGGAUAAGGUUUCCUGGGGAAGGUUCGUCCGCCCAGGGUUAGCCGGGAGCUAAGACGAGGCCGUAAGGAGUAGUCGAUGCACAGGAGGUUAAUAUUCCUCCGCCGGCUUGCAACUAUCCCUAGAGUGCUGAUCGAGGGACCCUACAGACCUGUUAUGACAAGGCACUGCAAAGCUACGGCUGAGUGGGUGUAGGGAAACAAGGUUACAAGAAAAGCUCUAGGAUUACUAUGCAGGUCGCCCGUACCGCAAACCGACACAGGUAUCCGGGAUGAGUAUUCUAAGGCGCGCGAGUUAAAUCUCUCUAAGGAACUCGGCAAAUUAGCCCCGUAUCUUCGGUAUAAGGGGUGCCCUCUUCGGAGGGUCGCAGUUAAUAGCGUCAACCGACUGUUUAGCAAAAACACAGCUCUCUGCUAAGUCGCAAGACGACGUAUAGGGAGUGACACGUGACCAAUGCGAAAAGGUGAAAACCUGAGGUGCAAGCUUCGGGUCUAAGCCCUCGUGAAUGUCGGCCGUAACUAUAACGGUCCUAAGGUAGCGAAAUUCCUUGUCGGGUAAGUUCCGACCCGCACGAAUCGUGUAACGAGUUGACGACUGUCUCGGAGAGAUGCUCGGUGAAAUUGUAGUAGCGGUGAAGAUGCCGCUUACCCGCAGCAGGACGGAAAGACCCUAUGCACCUUUACUGUAAGCUGUUAUUGUCGCUUGAUUUUCAUUGCGUAGAAUAGGUGGGAGACGUUGAUACUUCACUCCAGGGUGAAGAGGAGUCACAAUGUGAAAUACCACUCUUUGUUGGUUAGGCGUCUAACCUCUUUCCAUUAUCUGGAGGAGGGACAGUGAUAGCAGGUCAGUUUUACUGGGGCGGUAUCCUCCCAAAAAGUAACGGAGGAUUUCGAAGGUUCCCUCAGCCCGGUCGGUAAUCGGGCUAUAGAGCACAUGAGUAUAAGGGAGCUUUACUGUGAGACCUACAAGUCGAGCAGUUGCGAAAGCAGGAUCAAGUGAUCCGGUGGUUGAAUGUGGAAUCGCCAUCGCUCAUAGGACAAAAGGUACGCUAGGGAUAACAGGCUGAUCGCGCCCAAGCGUUCACAGCGACGGCGCGGUUUGGCACCUCGAUGUCGGCUCAUCACAUCCUGGGGCUGGAGAAGGUCCCAAGGGUUCGGCUGUUCGCCGAUUAAAGUGGUACGCGAGCUGGGUUCAGAACGUCGUGAGACAGUUCGGUCCUCUAUCCGCUGUGGGCGUUUGAGACUUGAGGGGUUCAUUCUCUAGUACGAGAGGACCGAGAAUGACGAACCUCUGGUGUUCCGGUUAUCACGUCAGUGGUAGCGCCGGGUAGCUAAGUUCGGAAAAGAUAAGCGCUGAAAGCAUCUAAGCGCCAAGCUGUUCCCAAGAUAAGGUCUCAAUCUGACUUCGGUCAGUGCAGGGUCCGGGUAGACCACCCGGUUGAUAGGGCACAAGUGUAAGCAUGGUAACAUGUUCAGCGUAGUGCUACUAAUGACCCUGCCGGUUUAUGCAA